CAGCCGCCACGGUAAAACGAAGGGGGCUAGCGUUGCUCGGAAUCACUGGGCGUAAAGGGUGCGUAGGCGGGUCUUUAAGUCAGGGGUGAAAUCCUGGAGCUCAACUCCAGAACUGCCUUUGAUACUGAAGAUCUUGAGUUCGGGAGAGGUGAGUGGAACUGCGAGUGUAGAGGUGAAAUUCGUAGAUAUUCGCAAGAACACCAGUGGCGAAGGCGGCUCACUGGCCCGAUACUGACGCUGAGGCACGAAAGCGUGGGGAGCAAACAGGAUUAGAGACCCCUGUAGUCCCUGUCUCUUAUAC
rnacentral:rRNA from 1 species